rnacentral:rRNA from 1 species
ACCUACGGGGGGCAGCAGUAGGGAAUUUUCGUCAAUGGGCGCAAGCCUGAACGAGCAAUGCCGCGUGAACGAGGAAGGUCUUCGGAUCGUAAAGUUCUGUUGAAGGGGAAAAAGAGCGGAGAGAGGAAAUGCUUUCUGAUUGAUAUUACCCUUCGAGGAAAUCACGGCUAACUACGUGCCAGCAGCCGCGGUAAUACGUAGGUGGCGAGCGUUAUCCGGAAUGAUUGGGCGUAAAGGGUGCGUAGGCGGCCUGCUAAGUCUGGAGUGAAAGGUACCGGCUCAACCGGUACAGGCUCUGGAAACUG